AUUGAACGCUGGCGGCAGGCCUAACACAUGCAAGUCGAGCGGCAGCGGGAAAGUAGCUUGCUACUUUUGCCGGCGAGCGGCGGACGGGUGAGUAAUGACUGGGAAAUUGCCCAGUCGAGGGGGAUAACAGUUGGAAACGACUGCUAAUACCGCAUACGCCCUACGGGGGAAAGCAGGGGACCUUCGGGCCUUGCGCGAUUGGAUAUGCCCAGGUGGGAUUAGCUAGUUGGUGAGGUAAUGGCUCACCAAGGCGACGAUCCCUAGCUGGUCUGAGAGGAUGAUCAGCCACACUGGAACUGAGACACGGUCCAGACUCCUACGGGAGGCAGCAGUGGGGAAUAUUGCACAAUGGGGGAAACCCUGAUGCAGCCAUGCCGCGUGUGUGAAGAAGGCCUUCGGGUUGUAAAGCACUUUCAGCGAGGAGGAAAGGUUGAUGCCUAAUACGUAUCAACUGUGACGUUACUCGCAGAAGAAGCACCGGCUAACUCCGUGCCAGCAGCCGCGGUAAUAC
rnacentral:rRNA from 1 species